GUCAGUUUGGCCGAGUGGUUUAAGGCGCCAGACUCAAGUUUUGGUGGAGAAAUCCGCGUGGGUUCGAACCCAAUAGCUGACA
rfam:Perkinsus marinus ATCC 50983 gcontig_1104296775944, whole genome shotgun sequence.